CCUUUCCUCCCAUCUAGUGGCUAUAAAAUAUAUAAAUGUGUUCCUUGGAAUUCUAGGCAUUAGGAAUUGUCUGACAGAUUAUAAUAUAUCCAACUGUUCACUCAGUUAAGCAAAAGUGAGUUCUAAAACAUUUACCAAAGCUAAGCCCAGUGGAGAAAUACAAAUCUAGGAUGAUUCACUAAUCAACUAUCCUUUAAUCAAUAACAUAUACUUCUCUUCAGUAGAAGGGUCAUGGUACUUCUUAAUUCGUUAAUCUGAACAUAGUGAUAGCAAAGACAAGGCUGUAUGUCUUUGCUAACAGAGAUUGGGACUUAUAUUUGCCUUUAAAGCAAUCAGUGCCCUAGAUCUCUCCUGACCCUUAAUUGCUCCUUGUUGGCCCCACACCUUGACAACUCUUCCCUCAAGAUUUGUAUGUGCUGAAUUCGCUAGAGAAAGCCAGAAACUGGCUGCCUCUAGGGGACCUCGGCUCCUGAAACUUGGAAUAGCAGACUCUGAUACUGGCAGCAGGGCCUCUGUGCAGGGCCAAACCAGCCCACAGGAAAGCAGGUUUGGAUCCGUUACGCAGCUAGAGGGAUUAAUGCUUGGUCUACCUGUUUUAUAUAUGUCUUGUGCAGAUGUCAAAAUCUCUGCUGAAUUGUGCCUCUCUCUGGUGAUUCUCACAGAUUCAAAGAAUGAAUUUUCUGUGCAAUCAGCAAAAUCCUGAGAGCUCCAGGAAGAAGAGGAAGGUCAGCGAACCAGUGAAAAUCUUCAUCCCUUACAGAAAAUGAAAGUUCAAUGCUUUUGCUACAUUUAUUAUAAAAAAAUUUUAUGUUGCAAAAACAUGCAUGAAAUGUCUUAAUAGGAAAGAAAAGUUUCUUCACUUACAUCAGUGUUUCACCAGAGGUAAAGUUUAGUCAGGACAUCAGCAUCUGGAGUGCUUGUCAAGAUUGCUCAACAGCCUCCUGACCAGCCUCCCUGCCUCCAGACCUGGUUCCCACCACACAUUCUCCACCCUGGCCAAGGAGAUCUUUCUAGAGUAAUCAAGUCAAGCUGUGGAUAAGACCGAGAGAUUAGUCUAAGGUUGUAUUACCGUCACAAUUGUCUGCUUCGUCAUCAACCAUGAUACCUGACCGCAGAUAUGCUCAAGAUGUAUUUCUUUAAAAUUGCAAUGUUGACCAGAGUUUUGCACUUGCUUAUGUGUCUAUACGCAUGUGUAUGUGACUUUAUUUGCACCAGGUUGGGUACAAGGAAGCAAGAAGUAGCCACCUUGCGCGUGGCCAGAGCUGUGUUCUCGGACUUGCUUUCACAUCGGAGUCACCUGCAAAGCUUGAGCCACCACACACAGGUGCCUGGACGGCCCAGCGUGUCCCCCAGAGAUUUGGAUUUACUUGGGCCGGCCUAGGGUCUGGGCACAGAUUUUUUUUAAAGCUCCUUAGGUGAUUAUAAUGUGUUUCCAGGGCCACCACCCGCCAAAGGAGGCCAGUCUCCCUCCACUGGUCGGUAAAAUCGAGCCAGGUUUGCCAGCUGCUUGCACAAUAUCCUCUCUUCCUUGGGGUGCUGGCGUUCUCUCAUCUCCCUGGUCCUCACCCUGGCUUCGGCCCAGACUUCUGCAUCUGGGACAUGGCCUCUCCUAUGACUAUACCACGGCAAAAACAUUCUCCCUAAACUGCUCUCAAGUGUAAUUAACAUUUUAAGUUAUUCCUUCUUACUCAACAAAAAUGAUUGUAUUUACAAAGAAUUUGGUCAUUCUCAUGUAAUGAGGUGAGAAAAACCAGGACGUGUUCAGUGACAUGUGACUACUUGGCUGGACCUGUCCUCAGAGAGUCUGUGUGAGGAGCCGGUGCAAAUCCAUCCUGAGCAAGGCACACAUAGCCACGUGUCCAGAACCUUCAGGAACCCGUGGGGCCUGGCACAGAGCUUGGCCCAUCACAAGUGCUCAGCAAACUUCUGAUGAAACUGAGAAUGUUGUCUGCAAAUUCAGGGUGCUUCCUGCACCUGAUUUGAUUCUGGAAAUUGCAAUGACUGGACUAAGAAAAAGCUCCUGCCCAGGAACAGCAUUUGGUGUCACUGCAGACGUAGGGCUCAGGGACUUCCUUUCCACCAAGAAAGCAACUCAGUUGGUGGCAUUAUAAAGCAGGAGCCUGGGUGAGGUUGAUGCUCCAUGUUAUAGAUUAUAAAUGGUGAACAGGGGAUUUUCUUUAAUUUGUUCAGGCACCUAAGUUCCCCUAAACUCUGAACAGUACUGUUUAAAUUCUUUAGGCCCUGUCUUGACCAUCUCAGCCCCCCUGAGCUUGUUUCUGGAAGGAGGUAAUAGACAUUGAAGGGCACUUCUUGGUUUACGGUACCACUUUUUAUCCUACUCAAGUAUUUUUAGUUAAUAUGUUCUAAUAUCGGGUGGGCCAGGACUCUCCUAACCCCACUUCACCCCUCUAUUUCAGAAAUGUCUUUGUCAUUUUCUCUCAUCCAUUAAAUAUAGAUUUAAAAAAAAAAACAACAAUGAAUCAUACCGGAAUUUUGAUUGAAAUCAUCAUGAACCAGUAGAUUGAUUUGGGGCUAAAGAAAUGUUUUCAAUUUAAUUUUUCCAUUUAAUAAUACUUAUUUUAUUCAAAUAUCUUUUAAAAUUUCCCAGUCAAAUCGUGUAGUGUUCUUUAUCGGGAAACUGCACAAGUUCAUUGCUAAGUGGUUUAUGGCUUCGGGUGCUGCUGUGAACGGGGCAUUGCGAUUGUGGUCCUCAAUGUCUUCCUAGUAAAGAUGGAGGCCUUGACCUUGGUGCGUUUAUCUCGUGUCCAGUCAUUUUUCUAAACCCUUUUAUUAAUUUCAGUGGUUUCCAUCUGGUUCCUUUAAGUAUUUUCAGGGUGCAACCAUAUGAUUGUGAAGAAUGUUGUUUUACAUUGAUGCACUGGUCAAGGGGGACAAUGGGCCUAUAUCUUGGCUAGUGCUGCUGUAACAAAGUACCAUGAACUGAGCGGCUUAAAACCACAGAAAUGUAUUCUCUCACAGUUCUGGGGCCAGAAGUCCAAAAUCAAGGUGUCUGGAGGGCAUGAGGGGGAAUCUGUCCUGCGCCUCUUUCAGCGUCCUGUGGCUGCCAGCAAUCCUUGGCUUGUAGGCACAUCACUCCUGUCCUGCCUCUGCCUUCACAAGGCUUCCGACCCAUGUGUCUGUAUCUCUAAGUCUCUCUCCCUAUAAAGACAUCAGUCAUUG